GUCGAGAAUCUUUCACAAUGGGGGCAACCCUGAUGGAGCGACGCCGCGUGGAGGAUAAGGUCUUCGGAUUGUAAACUCCUGUCAUGCGUGAACAAGGUUGCUUGGUUAAUACCUGGGCAAAUUGAUGGUAACGCAAGAGGAAGAGACGGCUAACUCUGUGCCAGCAGCCGCGGUAAUACAGAGGUCUCAAGCGUUGUUCGGAAUCACUGGGCGUAAAGGGUGCGUAGGUGGCGUGGUAAGUCAGAUGUGAAAGCCCGGGGCUCAACCUCGGAACUGCAGCCGAUACUGCCAUGCUAGAGUACUGGAGGGGUGACUAGAAUUCUCGGUGUAGCAGUGAAAUGCGUAGAUAUCGAGAGGAAUACCAAAGGCGUAGGCAGGUCACUGGACAGUUACUGACACUGAGGCACGAAGGCCAGGGGAGCGAACGGGAUUAGAUACCCGAGUAGUCC
rnacentral:rRNA from 1 species